rnacentral:misc_RNA from 1 species
UCCAGAUGACAUAGUGCAUCGAUAAUAAGAUCGAGGACAUGGGUUACCUUUAGCCAAUUUCUGCCCAUAUUUUCUCCAUUGGCAUCCAUCAGAUAUCGUGGAUGCCUCGGAUCUUGCUCGAACUGAGACACGGGCUUUUCUAAUCAUAGACGAGGUUACUGCUUUCUGUUCAUCGUCAACGUCCCUUGAAGUAUUAAACUUGGGCACUUUGUUUGGAACCCAUCCAUGAAAUGCUUCUUCUGAAGUCUCACAAUUUUUUAUUCCACCAGCACUCCUUUUCAAAUGAUCAAGAACUGGAACAACUCCACUAAUAGAGCUACUACUGACCACUGGUGGCUUAUUAUUCUCCAUUGACUCAACUAUAUUAGGAGAUAUUGAACAAUCCCGAGAUCUUUCUUCAGACACUGACUGUGAACAACCUUCGCCUAUUUCGCCUAUUUCAGCUUUACCCAGAUCCAGAAAGUGCCUUGCAAUGAUGGAUCCCACAUGCUGUUUCUCUUCAAGCGUUCCAUGUAUCACCUCCUCAUUUUUCACAGUUAUAGUGUUCUGAUUCUGGAGCCUCUGCAUGAGUGCAACAAGGUGCAUCUGUAGGAAAUAGUGGUUGUUGUUCACCUGAUUAAGUAUGCCUUUCAAACGCUGAUUUUCUGCGUUCAUGUGGUUUAUUUUGGCGUGUAAAAGUUCGAGCUCUUUCUUUCUUUGAUUAUAAGCUUCCUUGUUUUGAGAUGCUCCAUCUUCCACAAUUGAUUUAUUAUCACUACCAAUGCUUCCCGUUAGAAGAUUCAAACUAGUAUUUAUAUCUUCUUCAUUCUGUCGCCCUACCCCAUCAUCCAUAGCCUCUGUCUUGACUAUAGCAGUCGGCGGA